GGGCGUCUCUAUCUCAUUGCGAGAGGAGGCGCACCUAGAGCGUACACGCUGAUACCCGAAAGAUGGUGAACUAUGCCUGGCCAGGACGAAGCCAGGGGAAACCCUGGUGGAGGUCCGCAGCGAUUCUGACGUGCAAAUCGAUCGUCGGAGCUGGGUUUAGGGGCGAAAGACCAAUCGAACCAUCUAGUAGCUGGUUCCCUCUGAAGUUUCCCUCAGGAUAGCUUGCGCUCGGAAACAACGAGUCUCAUCCGGUAGAGCGAAUGAUUAGAGGCCUUGGGGUCGAAACGACCUCAACCUAUUCUCAAACUCCAAAUAGAUGAGAACCCCGGCUUUCUUGAACUUUGUUUAUGAAGCCGGGGGCUCGGAUCAGAGUGCCAAGUGGGCCAAUUUU
rnacentral:rRNA from 1 species